GACUGGCUCCUGCACAGACCAGGAACAAGAUGGAGCGCAGCAAUCAGGAGAUCUCUGAGGAACAAUUCCUGCUCAAAUGAGUUCCUGGUUGCUUCCACCCAUAGGAGAGAGGAGAAAGCUACAGAUACCAUAUCAGGAUGGCCGAGCUUUCUUCAGCUAAGCAAAUUAAUCUGUAGAGAAACAAAGCAAAAUGCAAGUUAACAGGUUUCUGAUUUUGCCUAUGAAAAUAAGCUGCAAGCCUGAGGUUGUGAUCUAUGUAAAUUAAAUGUAACCCUUCAGUAUCAGAAGAUAACUGCACUUGGGCCACUUAAGGACAAAAAACAAGGACAAAAAUGUGCCAAGGGUCCAUGGUGUAACACCAAUUAAGGUACCUGUUGUGUGA
rnacentral:lncRNA from 1 species